CCAAAAAACGGAAGAAGAAGAACGUGAACCCCUGCGAUAUACUGAAGGAAACCCGUGUCGUUCUUCCUUUCCCAACAUGGCCCCGAAGGCGAAGAAGGAAGCUGUCCCGGCUAAGACUGAGGCCAAGUCCAAGGCCCUUAAAGCCAAGAAGGCUGUGCUGAAGGGUGUCCACAGCCAGAGGAAGAA